CUACGGGUGGCUGCAGUGAGGAAUAUUGCACAAUGGGGGGAACCCUGAUGCAGCAACGCCGCGUGGAGGAUGACGCAUUUCGGUGUGUAAACUCCUUUUAUAUGUCAGGAAAAUGACGGUAGCAUAUGAAUAAGCACCGGCUAAUUCCGUGCCAGCAGCCGCGGUAAUACGGAGGGUGCAAGCGUUACUCGGAAUCACUGGGCGUAAAGGACGCGUAGGCGGGUUGGAAAGUCAGGUGUGAAAUCCUACAGCUUAACUGUAGAACUGCACUUGAAACUUCUAAUCUAGAGUAUGGGAGGGGGAGAUGGAAUUAGUGGUGUAGGGGUAAAAUCCGUAGAUAUCACUAGGAAUACCUAAAGCGAAGGCGAUCUCCUGGAACAUUACUGACGCUAAGGCGUGAAAGCGUGGGGAGCAAACAGGAUAGAUACCCCAGUAGUC
rnacentral:rRNA from 1 species